rnacentral:lncRNA from 1 species
UAGUGUAUAUCUUCUCGUGGGCAAGAUGUCUCAUGGCGACACCACCUUGUGAUUCCUUCAAAUGAGCAAACGGAACCAACAGUUUGAAACACAAAAGGUGGUUAGCGUGAGCACAAUAGCCAUCAUUCAUGUGGUGAUUCACCCAACAAGUGUCGUCAUUGUGCUCAGUAUAAUGUGUGCCACGAGGAUGAGGAGUAUGUGCCAUUCACCUCAAUUCAUGUCGUUCCUCACGUCGGGCUUGUUCAUCAUCUUGCGCCUCUCGUUCUCUUCUUUGGCGCUCUUGGUGUUAGAAUUGAGCGUCACGGAGUGCUUAUUGUGCUUCGUUUUCUUGGCGAAGGGUGUCUUAUUCUUGGCGCAUUUGUU